UACGAAGGUCCCAAGCGUUAUCCGGAUUUAUUGGGUUUAAAGGGUGCGUAGGCGGUCUAUUAAGUCAGUGGUGAAAGCCCCAAGCUCAACUUGGGAACUGCCAUUGAUACUGAUGGACUUGAGUACAGAUGAAGUGGGCGGAAUGUGACAAGUAGCGGUGAAAUGCUUAGAUAUGUCACAGAACACCGAUUGCGAAGGCAGCUCACUAAAGUGUAAACUGACGCUGAGGCACGAAAGCGUGGGGAGCAAACAGG
rnacentral:rRNA from 1 species